rnacentral:lncRNA from 1 species
GGGGUGCCUGGAUCCAGCCUCACUGGCUCCUGGUCCUUCUUUCUUCGGCAGGGAGUUUUGGCAAGGCCUGGGCCUGGGGAGGGGGCCUGGGUGCGGUUUUCUCCUGCGGUGUGGUUGGCUCUUUUGUCUUCCAGGAUGGGCCUGUGGGGUCUGUGUGGGGAAGGAAGGAGCUGGGAGCCUGGACUGCCUGUGUGUCUGCUGGAUGCUGCCAGCACCGGAAUGGACCAAGCAACUUCUCCGAGCCAGAUGCUGGGGAUGCAGAAGUGAACCCAGAGACAUGAUCCCAUCUGCUUGGAUCUUCAUGUCAGAACACGCUUUAUUACAGUCUCGGCGAGGGGGUGGCUCCAUCUGGGCCGCAUCGCCAGGACUCCUGGCCUGGCCUUCUCUUUGGACCUCGGGUGACCUUGGACUCUGGCCACAGUAACUUAGCAGGCAGACUCUGGUGGUUUUCUAGCCCCCUGGGUGACUCCCUGAAGAUCUCAUCCUCCUCACCUGUUGGGGUGGAGCCUCCCAUGGAUAGGAGCUCUUCCUGGCUGAUGCUCAGUGGACGACUGGAUCUGGCUCUGGAGGAUGACUCCAGGGGUAUGAGGGAGGCCUGGCAGCCCACUACUCCCUCCUCACCUGCUCGGGCCCUGCCUGUGGCCCUAUUGUCUGGGUCUGGGGGCCCUUUCCUGACCCCAUGUGAACUUGAUUCCUCCUUGUGUUUCUGCCGGUGACCAGACAGAGCCUGGCCUGGGCCAAGGCCCCACUGACCACACUCUCCCCAAGGCUGGGUCUCAAAGGACCCUACAGGAUGGGGACAGGAACAUGAUGGAAGUCAGGGAGGGGCUGUCAGGGAGAGGGCAGACACAGUUCCUUGGGUGCCGCUGGCUGGAGUCCUUUGUCUCCGUUUGCUCUGUGCGUAUUUGUCAUUUUGUGGGCCUUCCUUGGUGGGGCUUUUCCAUGCUUUUCCUCUCCCUGAUGGUUACAAAGAGGAGACAGUCAGGAUCUGGGAGGAGCUGGAGCCUUCCCCCUAUGCUGUUGAACUCUGGGAGGGGCAGCUAGAGGGACUGAGUGUGCACCAUCCUGAAAAGAGAAGGUCUUUAAGAGAUAAGAUCUAGGCCAGGGAAAUUCACUAGAAAGAGACAGGCGGCCCUGGGUUUUUUUCCUGCCAUCCAAAGGGAACCAGUCUUACCCAAAGGAUUGAGGGGUCACCUUAGCCCAAUCUCAGGACACUCUCCUCCAAUCAGAUCCCUGCUUCCAGCUGCACUGCUCCUGGAUUGUGUUCUUGGGGAGCAGAAGGUGGCAGGACAGGCCCCACAGUCCACAAUUCCAGCUCCCUCCAGAGGGGACAGUCCCAGUGUCUGCAAGAGAGCGGCUUGUGGCCUCCCUUAGGCAAGUUUAAAAGCCAGAUGUCCUUUUUCCCAGAAAGGGGAGUGGUGUGUACUAUUCAUCGGCUUGGGCUGCCACAGCACCGUGCCACAGACUGGAUGGCUUAAACAUCAGGAAUUUUUCUCCCAGUUCUGGAGGCUGGAAAGUCCAUAUCAAGGUGUUAGAGAUGGUUUCUGGUGAGGCCUCUCUCCUUGGCUUGCAGGUGGCACCUUCUUGCUAUGUCCUCACAUGGCCUUUUCUCUGUGGAGAGGGACAGAGAGCACGAGCAAGCUCCAGUGUCUCCUCCUCUUCUUAUAAAGACAUUAAUACCAUCAAAUUAGGGCUCAACCCUAGGGACUCAUUUAACCUUAACCCCUUAAAAGUCCCAUCUCCAAAAACAGUCACAUUGUAGGCUAAUGCUUCAACAUAUGCAUUUGGGGGAGGGGACUCCGUUCAGUCCUUAGCAGGGUGGUCACCGCAAACAUGGAAAGCCAGAGCCAUCUCCCCUUCAGAAUUCCCGCCCCCCACCCCAGGGACGGGGAAGAGGAACAGAGGUAUGGGAAGCAGACACUGAGAGUGGCAGGUUUCAGGCUGGGGUGGCUCGGAGUGCUUCGGAGGACAUAUGGAACUGGCUGGGCUCAGUGUGGGGAGGCGGAGCCCCUGGGAGAGCCGUGUCCUGAGAAGGGCCUGGGCUACAACCCUGGGCAAGUUACUUCACCUCUGAGCCUCCCCUGCUCUGUGAAAUGGAAGGCAUGUGCCCGCCUGUCAGGUGCAGGGAGGAUUCAGUGAGGUCGUGUGCCUAGCACUGUACCUGACUCCCAGCAGAUAUUCAGUAAAUGCUCCUAUCCAUCUGGGAGUAUAGACUUAGGGUUUAUCUAUUUUUUUUUUUUUUUUUUUGGCUCUCUGGACUUCAAAACUCAGCAUCUUCUGAUCCAGAGGCAUUUCUGAUUAGCCUUUCCCUACCUAUUUUCCUAAUAUCACUCUUUAAUCAGCUUGGGGAGGUGGCAGCAUUUCAUGGCCUCCAUAGUAACUCAGAAUGCUUCCUGGAGUAUCUGAAUUCUCCUCUCUCAUCAGCACUGAGCACCUACUUUGGGCCCUUUCCCGUGCUAGCCAUUUGGGGGAAACAUAGGUGAAGAGUGCCAGGGUUCGAACCUUUAGGAUUUCACAGCCAUGCUGGAUGGGAUAAAACCAGCUCACAUGGAGAAUCAGAGACUGGGACAGUGCCAUGAAACUGUCUAUUAAGGCACAAGUUCUGAGUGCUUGGGAAGUGCGAGACAGACCCCACAGAGGGCUGCUGCAGUCUGGAACAGCUUCCUAGCAAGCUGUACCAACCAGAGCCUUGAAGGAUGAGAAAGAUCUGCCUGAGAUGAGACCCGACCCUCUAAAUUCCCAAAGUAAGUUCUAGGAAAUGUCAUCAUUGCUCCUUUAAAAAAAAAAAA